rnacentral:rRNA from 1 species
GCUUUACCAUGCAGUCGAACGGCAGCGCGGGGCAACCUGGCGGCGAGUGGCGAACGGGUGAGUAAUACAUCGGAACGUGCCCUGUGAUGGGGGAUAACUACGCGAAAGCGUAGCUAAUACCGCAUACGACCUAAGGGUGAAAGUGGGGGAUCGAAAGACCUCACGUCAUAGGAGCGGCCGAUGGCGGAUUAGCUAGUUGGUGAGGUAAAGGCUUACCAAGGCGACGAUCCGUAGCUGGUCUGAGAGGACGACCAGCCACACUGGGACUGAGACACGGCCCAGACUCCUACGGGAGGCAGCAGUGGGGAAUCUUGGACAAUGGGGGCAACCCUGAUCCAGCAAUGCCGCGUGUGGGAUGAAGGCCUUCGGGUUGUAAACCACUUUUGGCGGGGGCGAAAUAUCGAAUGAUAAUACCAUUCGGUGAUGACGGUACCCGCAGAAUAAGCACCGGCUAACUACGUGCCAGCAGCCCGGGGUAA